GACGAACGCUGGCGGCGUGCUUAACACAUGCAAGUCGAACGGAAAGGCCCUGCUUUUGUGGGGUGCUCGAGUGGCGAACGGGUGAGUAACACGUGAGUAACCUGCCCUUGACUUUGGGAUAACUUCAGGAAACUGGGGCUAAUACCGGAUAGGAGCUCCUGCUGCAUGGUGGGGGUUGGAAAGUUUCGGCGGUUGGGGAUGGACUCGCGGCUUAUCAGCUUGUUGGUGGGGUAGUGGCUUACCAAGGCUUUGACGGGUAGCCGGCCUGAGAGGGUGACCGGCCACAUGGGGACUGAGAUACGGCCCAGACCCCUACGGGAGGAAGCAUGGGGGAAUAUGGCACAAGGGGCGGAAGCCUGAGGCAGCAACGCCGCGGGCGGGAGGACGGCCUUCGGGUGGUAAACCGCUUUCGCCUGUGACGAAGCGUGAGUGACGGUAAUGGGUAAAGAAGCACCGGCUAACUACGU
rnacentral:rRNA from 1 species